UGGUGGGGUGACCCGUCUGGUUAAUUUCGAUAACGAACGAGAUCCGAGCUGUUUAGUUGGCCGCUAUUGUUAAGGCAGUAGUGUGUCUCCUAUAUGGACUGUCAGUUUGAGGCUGAAGGAAGUUUCCGGGCUAAAUCA
rnacentral:rRNA from 1 species